UACGGGGGGGGCAAGCGUUGUUCGGAAUUACUGGGCGUAAAGGGCUCGUAGGUGGCCAACUAAGUCAGACGUGAAAUCCCUCAGCUUAACUGGGGAACUGCGUCUGAUACUGGAUGGCUUGAGUUUGGGAGAGGGAUGCGGAAUUCCAGGUGUAGCGGUGAAAUGCGUAGAUAUCUGGAGGAAUACCGAUGGCGAAGGCGGGUCUCUGGGCCGAUACUGACGCUGAGGAGCGAAAGCGUGGGGAGCGAACAGG
rnacentral:rRNA from 1 species